CAUUAAAUGUUUAAAGUCCAAUUACAUAGCCCAAACCCAAUUACAUAACCUAGACCUAUUUUUAAAACCUGACCCAAACUUACAAGGCCCGAUAGGCCUAUUGCUUUUAGAACAGACAGAACACUAGAGUUCUCUUUCUCUAGCACCGCAGCCGAGCCUUGGCCCUAGCCUCCGUACCCUCCAGUGCCGUACAGUCCUCCUGGCACCAUGCCCACACCCUGUACGCCAGCACAUGCUCCCGUACACAUGCCAGCGCGCACCCGUACCUGCAAGAAGACAAACGAAAAGAAUAGCAAAUGCAAACAAAAGGAAAACAUUGUAUUUUUAUUUAUUUCGUUAAUUCUUCCUCUCUUUUUUCGGCUGUAAAAAGCCAGAUUUUAAUCUUGUAAUCAGAGACAUUUACGAACGCAAGCAAUACCAAGCAACAAAAAAUAGAAAAAGAAGGUGAUCUCGAGUGCCUCUUCUUUUCAUUGGUGAAUCUAUUUCGUUCAUUUUCUUUUCUUGAUUUUGCAUGUGUUUAUUUACAUAAGGGGUAAGAAAGAGCAGCAUAUAAAAGAAACAGCCAUCGGACCAUACAAUUUCCGUCAGAACCGAGGUUGAAGAUUGGCUUCCAAGGCUAAAAUUUGGCUUAUUGAUGAGAGAUUUAGAACAACGAGGGGCUUACCGUUGUAGAUAUACCGUCGGAGUCCUAUAUCCUUCGUCGUAAUCAGAGUUUGGUAUGGGAUUUCGAAGUCAAAAUCAGUAACCACGAUUUGUGGUUUCAAAUGGUGUAAAAAAAGGGGGGUGUAUAUCCAUCACCAAUCACCAAAUACAAUGGUGUCAUGGUGAUGAAUGCAAGUUUUUUUUGGGAUAAAUCUGAUGAGAAUCGAAGGGGCCAAGGUUUCGGUUCCUUUGGCGGCCAAAUGAGGGAAUACAUGAGGGAUUUAGGGUUUGGUAAAGUAGAAAGAAAGAGGUGAAGAUUUGUCCAAACGGGUUGUUCUGUUGGGGGUUUUAAAGAAGUAAGAAACGACGUCGUUUAGGUCACCCCCUUUAUGCCCGAUCCGACCCGAUUCCUAGCUCCUGGGAUCCGCGCGUUUUCACGGUGAGGGGAUAUUUUCGACAUCGGUCCCUCUCUUUUCGCACCCCAGUUCAAUUAGCUCACACUUGUGUUUCUUUGUUUUAAAAUUGCCCCUUCAAUUUGCGUGCAUUUUCAUUUUAGUCUGCACCUGUACACAGCGUUUUGGAGUCUGGAAUAAUUCCAGUUUUGAUCCUUGUAUAUUUGUAUACAUUAUGCGCUGGCCCUUAUAUUGUAAUUUGGGUAACGAUGCUUUCAUAUUUUGUAUACUACCUCAUGUAAUUGUUUUUUUUAUUUACGCUAUUGUACAUAUAUAUUUUUACUUUUUAUUAAAGUUCAUUUUAUUUCAUAUAUAUAUAUAUACAUUGUUAACCUUAUGUUAUUUUGUACAUAUGUUUUCUUAAAUUUAUUAUUGUAGUUUAUUAUAUAGUCCUAUAUAAUAUAUUUUCUAAAUCAUUAUUAUAUACAUAUAUGUUUAUAGAUAUCUAUACUUAAUAUAAAUAUUAUUAAAUCUAUGUAUUUUAUGCAUGUAGUUUUUUUUUUUUACAUAUAUGUAAGCAUAUUCUUCAAUUCAUUAUAUAAUUUAUAAUAAAAUUAAUUUCAGCUUGCAUGUAUUUCUAUGUUUUUACAAAUAAUAAUUAUUAUUUUUUUUAAAAGUUAUUUAUGUAUACAUAUGCUUGAUUUGUAAAUCCAUUAUGUUACAAGAAUUAUAUUUCAUUGUACAUUUUUUAUUAUCAUUUUUUUAUACCUUAUACAUAAGCUAAAAUUUUCUACAUGUAAAUUGUUAAUUUUAGACCAAAAUUCUUUAAUGCCUUACAUAUUAUUCGAUUUGAAAAUAUUCCUCCUAUAAUAUAUAUUUUAGAGAUCGUAUGUAUGCAUCUUUAGUUUGUUCUUACAAAUCGUUUUAAAUUCAUCAAGUCAUAUAUUGUGUAAUUUAUGCAUUCAUAUAUUCAUCAUUAUUUUAAAAUCGUUUUAUAUUCGCGUUGGCUUCCAAAUGUUAUCCUUUUUUUCAUGCAUUAUAUUGGUUGUUUUAUAUCAUGUUAUGUGCAUUAUUGUGGUUCGUUAUUGUUGUAUAUAUUUAUUCAUUGUCUUUUAUUGUCACGUUAAUUAUUCUCCAUGAAUGAUUGUAGUCAGAUUAUAUUCCUUAAGCUAGUUAUAUUUAAUCCUUUUUUAGGGUUCGUUAAUCGAUUGUAUCUCAUACACAUAUUACCCCAUGUCAUCGUUUUCCGCUUGAUUUUUUGAAAUGUGGUUUUAUAAAAUCCAAAUUUCAUGAUUAAUUUCGUCUCAUUAAUGCGUUUUAAGCUAGUUUCACAAUUAUUAAAAAUCCUUUAAAACGAAGGUGAUAUUCGAUACUUGGUAAUUCAUGGAAUCGUACCCUAACGUGUUGGGUUGCAAUUCCUUGUUUGCUCAAAGUAAUCGAAGGUCCCUUUAGAAUUUCACCCACGGCUAUUAAAAAUCCCUUAAACAAAGGCGAUAUGUGAUAUUUGGCAAUUCACGAAAUUGUGCCCUAGCGUGCUGGGUUGCAAUUUCUCGUUUUCUUAAAAUAAUCAAAUAUCCCUUCAAAAUUUCAUUCGUGUCUUCUAAAAAUCCGUUAAAACGAAGGCAAUAUUUUGUGUUCGACAAUUCGGGAAUCAUGCCCUAUCGUGCUGGGUUGUGAUUUCUCGUUUGCUCAAAACAAUCGAAUAUUCCUUUAGGUUUUCACUCAUGUUUGUUAAAAACCUUUUAAAACAAGGGAUGUUCGAUGUUUGGCAAUUUGAGAAUCGUGCCCUAUCGUGCUGGGUUGCACUUUUUCAUUUGUUCUAAAUAAUCGAAUAUCCCUUCUGAAUUUCAUUCGUAUUUUCUAAGGUGAGGAAAUGUUCAAUGUUCGAAAAUUCGAGGAAUCGUGCCCUACUUUGCUGGGUUUCGGUUCUUCGUUGGACCAAUUAACUGGGCAUCCUUUUUUAAUUUUCAAAUCAAACGCUUUCAGACAUUGAAACAAGAAGAUUUUGGCAACCAACUCGAGUUACUCAAAUGUUAUUAAAAAAGAACCACAUUUCAAAAACAUUUUUUAGACAUAAGGACAGUAUCUAAUCGAUUUGGUACCAAUUUUGGGCGUAGUGAGGGUGCUAAUCCUUCCUCAUAUGUAACCGACUCCCGAGCCUGCUUUCUCAAAGUUCGUAGACCAAAAUCAUUAUUUUAGCAAAUCAAAAAUGUUUUAUUAAAAUAACCAAAUUCUUAGGUGAUCCGAUCACACCUAAACAAAAAGAUCUGUGGUGACUCCAUAUUUCUGUUUUUUCAAAAGUCGAUUCCCCUAUUUUUCAUUAAGUUUAAAAUAAUUGAAGAAAGGAUAGUUUCGACAGCUUGGCGACUCCGCUAGGGAUUUGUUGAGAGUCGAGCCAUAAAAAUCGAUUUUUUACUGUCCUUUUGUCAAAGACCAAAAAUUUAUUUUGAAAAAAAUCAUGUAUCUUUCGAUUGCAUUUGAUUGUAUGAUCAUUUUGGUACGGGUCUCGUAGAAUAGUACUGCAUUUCAUUGCAUGACUGCUGUGGUCACACCUUCUAAGUGGGAGUAAGAAGCUACGCUUUCGUGAGGUUUUUACCUCCGCAUGGGCUAGUGGACUGCUUCUGUGGUAUAUCCGUACCUAUGAUUUCGUGAGAUUUUCAUCUCCGCAUGGUCAUAGGGAAAUGUAUCCCCCCGAACUGAACUCGAUCUAUAUGAGCCUAUAAUGGGUAAAGAUUGAGGAAUCUGCUGGUUCAGGUACCCUUAUCCCUAGAACUAAACCACAUAUAGUGAACCUUAGGAGCUAUCCUUGGGUGGAGCCACGUCGAGCCAUAGUACUUACCCGUAUAUGAGUUGUGAUUAUCGUUUAUGUGCUUGCAUUUUAUCGAUAUUAUUUGAUACUAACCUAUGUUUUGUUUUGAUUGUCUUUUUUUGCAUGACAUUGCAUAUUAAAGGAGGUGUUAAUCCGUAUUCAAUUACUAAGUUAGAAAGUUUGACAUGGAAAAUGAAUUUCUUAGUAAAGUCGAGGAUAAUGCGGCCGUUCGUGCAUGGUCGGAGAGGCUACAAUCAGAGAGAGGGGAUAGCUUGGCAGAAGGGUAUGUAUCGGAGCUGCAGGAUUUCACUCGCGUCAAUAUAGUACAGAAUGAGCUGCAAGAGUUGAGAGACAUUUGCGCUAGUUUGGAUGAAGGGAUCAAGCAGUUAUUUUACCAAAGCUAUGGUGACAUAUCCUACCUGUUAAACAUUAGAGUGGAUAAGCAUUUGUUCUGAGUCUUGGUGCAGUUUUGGAAUUCUGCGUACAAGUGUUUCACUUUUGGAGAAGUGGAUUUGGUACCUACCAUAGAGAAAUACACUACGCUGUUUAGGUGUCCAAAGAUUCAGGUCUGGAAGACAUAUGCCCAGGUUUUUAGUAGUCAGACCUUCAUGAAGAAAUUGAUGAGCAUUUCUGGGAUGAGCGAGCCUUGGGUUACUGCUUGGAUUCAGCAAAAAGUAGACAAUAAAUGUAUCCCUUGGGAGAAUUUGCGAGAUUUGAUCUUGACGCAUCUAGAAAAAAGAAAGAGGGUCGACAUCUUCGCCUUAAGCAUCUACGGAUUGGUAAUUUUUCCUAAGGCUUUGAGGCACGUGGAUGAGGCAGUUAUUGACUUAUUCGAUCGACUUGAGAAAGGAAUCACUCCGGUACCGGCAAUAUUGGCAGAAACGUUCAAAUCUUUGAGCUCAUGUCGGAAGACAGGCGAGGGGCGGUUUAUUGGAUGUGCAUAAUUGUUGAUGGCAUGGUUUCAAGGGCACUUUUGGAAGGUAGACAAGGUUUCCUAUUGGGUCUUUUCCGAAGGUUAUUCCCCAUUAAAAGAAGAGGCAGCUAUACAAAGGAGAGAGGAUAUCUCGGAGGAGAAGUGGAUGGGCAUUCUUCAGAACCUCAAGGAGGGAGAUAUCGAGUGGAGAGCUUAUUGGAUGGUUCCUGAUGAGAUCAUGUACCAAUGUGGUAACUUUUAUUGGGUGCCAUUGUUAGGAAUUUGGGGAGCUACUGGGUAUACUCCAUUGCUAGCCUUGAGGCAAUAUAAGUCGAGGCAGUUUGUACACACGACCUACAGACUUGCUCAGAGUGAGUUCUCAUUUAAAGGUGCUCACUAUAAGAAGAGAGUUCGGGAGUUAUCGGAUGCUUGGAAGCAAACUUGUUGGAUGAAAAGGUUAGUCAUCGGUUCCAUGGUAACGCCCAAGUAUAACGAAUGGUUUAAGAAGAGGGUUAAUGAUAAUGUCCCUAGGCCAAGCUUGGAGAAUGCUCGACCUAUCGGGGAACAAUUACAAGUCACCCCGUCAGAAUUAGAGAUUAUAAGGCAAGAUUUCGAGAAGAAGAGUUCGGAGCUUGGGAAGAAGAUCGAACAAUUGGAGGAAGAAAAGAUGCACCUAAGGUUAGACGCUGAUGUCUAGAGGUCAGAGGCUGAGAAGUGGAGAAAAGGAAAAACUAAGGUCGAAGAAGAUCUAGGCAGCUUGAAAAUAGACUAUAAGAAGCUGGGCCUAUCUAUGAGGACUGCGGGGUUAGGAAAGACUUCCGAACAAUUGCGCCAUGAAAUUUGAGAGGAAAAGGCCAAUACUGACAGGUGGGAAAAGAAAUUCCAAGAAGCUCAGGCACGAAACGAAGAUUUAGAGAAGAGUCUGUCGGAGAGAAGAAAUGAGCGAGGUGAAUUUAGGUCUAGAGUGGUAGAACUCGAGAAGUCUUUGCAUCAGUACCGAAACCGCAACACCGUAAUGGAAUUGAGGGAAAGCUUAAGCAAGAUAGAAUAAAUGAAAGGAAAAAUAGAAGAGUUAGAGGCGUCACUACAAAACUGUGAGAUGCGGAUCCAGUUUUUCAAGGCAAACAAGGAUCGUUGGAAAGAGCAGAUUCACCAUGCACAAAACCAAGUCAGAAACAGAGAUUACCUUAUGAGGGAAGCCAUAACCCAGAUUCGGGAGGUAGCGGACUACUUGCAAACUUUAGCGGUUCAGGCAGACACACUGGGCAUGAAAUAUGAGUUGGAGUCGGGUCGCGGACAAGAGCUGGCCUCGUUGCUUAGAAAAAUUAGGAGUUUGAGUGUUAGAGCGAAAUUUUAUUUAUAACUCAACUUUAUGUAAAAGAUUUUAUUUUCAAGUGAAAUUUUCUGAGGGCAAUUGAAUCAAAAUUGAUGCCUCCUUUGUAUUCAUGCAUUUGCAUUACAUCAUACCAUUAUGCAUUAAAGGCCAUAAGAGUUUUCUAAUUAAUUAAUUAAAAACUAUUUCAGUAACCUGGAAACCAACGAAAACCAACAAACCACGUACCCCUACGAUACAAGAAAAAAAUCAAUGGAUAAGAGACUCGAGAAAUUGCAGCAAAUGCAAAAGGAUAUGCAAGAAAAAAUGCAGUCUCAGAUGCAAGAGCAGCUAGCCAAGAUACAGCGAGAGAUGAAAGAGCAAAUGAUGGAGUCCCAGAAGGAAAUGAUGAGUCAGUUAUCCCAAUUGCUAUUGGGAGGAAUAGAUAAGGGAAAGGGCCCCAUGGACAAAGUCGAGGAAACUAAUGAAGAUCUUCCACACCCCCUGGCUUCACUCCAACACAUGUAUCGAUGAAACCCGAGAUUAAUCUACCGAAACCAUUUGUCACGAUCAUGCCCCAGUAGGUUCAGGCUGGACCUUCAGUACCGAUAAAUUUCCAAACCGUCUCAGGCUCUAACUUUGUCAACAACCCGAACUAUCCACCUGUUCCCGAUUUGGAUGAAGUUGCUGAAGAAGAAAAGGAAAGGAUAGAUUCGCAAAAACAAUUGGAAGAACGGUGUAGAUGGCUUGAGGAGAAAUUCAAAGCCAUGGAGAGCACGGAUCAUCAUCAAGGGAUUGAUUCCAAGGACCUGAGUUUGGUCCCAGAUUUAGUUCUUCCCCCCAAAUUCAAAAUGCCCGAGUUCGAGAAAUACAAUGGAACAAGUUGCCCUGAAGCCCACAUCACUAUGUUCUACAGAUGAAUGAUGGGAUAUGUUAACAAUGACCAGCUAUUAAUCCACUGCUUUCAAGAUAGUCUGGUCGAGGCGGUCUCUAAGUGGUACAACUAAUUAAGCCGCUCUAAAAUUAACUCGUGGAAGUACCUGGCCCAGGCCUUUAUGAAGCAAUACAAUCAUGUGACGGACAUGGAACCUGACAAAAUCACUCUCCAGAACAUGGAGAAGAAAUCGAAUGAAAGCUUCAGACAGUACGCACAAAGAUGGAGAGAGGUGCCUAUACAAGUUCAGCUGCCACUUCUAGAAAAGGAGACGACGAUGCUCGUUAUAAACACCUUGAAGGCCCUUUUUAUCACUCAUAUGUUAGGAAGCGCCACCAAAAGCUUCUUUGACAUAGUGAUGACGGGGGAAAUGAUCGAAAAUGCUGUGAGGAGCGGCAAGAUAGAAUCGGGAGAGAGUACCAGGAAGUCAGCCCCGAGGAAAAGAGAAAAUGAAGUGAACAACACGAGCACAUUCAACAAGGGUCAGUCCAAGUCAUUCACCGUAAAUCAACCCAAGACGGUGACCACCAAUCAGCAAAGCUCUGUAAGACAAUAAUCCAACGCGAGGGAGAACAUAGAAAGGCCACAAUUCACCCCUAUACCCAUGACGUAUAGGGAGUUGUACCAGAACCUGUUCAACGCUCAUGUGGUGUCCCCUUUCUACUUGAAGCCACUGCAGCCCCCGUAUCCCAAAUGGUGUGACACAAACGCCCAAUGUGAAUACCACGCGGGAAUCACCGGGCACUCUAUCGAAAACUACGCUGCGUUUAAGAAAGUAGUCGAAAGACUCAUUAAGAUGGGGAUCAUGAGAUUUGACGACCCAGCCACACCUAAUGUAGCAGGAAACCCACUACCCAAUCAUACCGACCAAUGAGUGAAUGGGAUAAGUGAAGGUAGGAACAAGAAGACCAAGUAUGAGGUGGCAGAAGUUAGGACCCCGUUAAGGCGGGUAUGGAAUGAGAUGGCCAAGAGAGGAUUGAUCGCGUUGGAUUCAAGGGAAGAAUCCGAAGAAGAGAGAAACUACGGUGAGUUUCACGACGAGGUGGGGCAUGAAAUCCAAGAUUGCGUGGAGUUCAAAGCCUUAGUGCAAAACAUGAUGAACAAUAAGAAAUUUGAGUUUUAUGAAGAAGCCAAAAACGCCGUAGAGGGAGAUAUAUGCGCAUCGGAGGGAGAAUCGAAGGCGCAGAAUCAAACAGCUAACUACCUCGUGGUCAUCAUAUGAAGACCCAAAAAUAGUGAAGCUGGAGUACAAAUGCCACCGAGGGUCAUAAUCCAAAGACCUGUAGUCUUCCCCUACAAAGACAGCAAAAAGGUCCCAUGGAAUUAUGAAUGUAGUGUGACGAUGCCGAGAAAGGAGAGCCCGGUCAACACUUCAAAAGGGAACCAAGAUAGGGGCUCCUAUACACGUAGCGGGAGACGUUAAGAUACGGCAAAUGAGGAGGCACAACCCACAAAAGGAAAAUCCCAAGUGGUCGAGGAAAUGAAGGAAAAAACAACCAAGCCUGUUAACGAGUCAGCUAACGAAGAGGAGGCCCAGAAGUUUUUAAAAUUCCUAAAGCAUAGCAAAUACAGUGUGGUAGAACAUCUACGUAAACAACCAGUCCGUAUCUCGGUCCUGGCCUUACUUCUAAGCUUGAAAGUUCAUCGUAGCACGCUAAUGAAGGUCUUGAAUGAAACAUACGUUGCCAAUGACAUCUCCGUUAACAAGUUGGACCGCUUGGUUAGCAACAUCAGUGCUGACAACUAUAUCUUUUUCAAUGACGAUGAGAUACCACCCGGGGGCAUGGGGUCGACUAAAGCUUUGCAUAUCACCACACGCUGUAAAGGGUAUAUGCUGCCAGGCGUACUGAUUGACAAUGGGUCGGCUUUGAACGUCCUGCCAUUGACCACGUUGAAUAGGUUACCUAUAGAUAGCUCUCACAUGAAGGAGUGCCAGAACAUCGUGAAAGCAUUUGAUGGCGCAGAGAGGAAGGUGAUGGGCAGAAUCGAGGUAUCUCUUCAGAUCGGGCCAAACAUGUAUGAGGUGGAUUUCCUCAUAAUGGAUAUCAAGCCCUCAUACAAUUGCUUGUUGGGGAGGCAUUGGAUACAUUCAGCUGGGGCAGUGCCUUCCUCAUUGCAUCAAAAAUUAAAGCUAGUGUUGGAGGGGAGGUUGAUAACGAUCAAGGCUGAGAAGAAUAUCAUUGCAAAUGUGAGCAAUAAUGCGCCCUAUUUGGAGACAGAUGACGAAGCAAUUGAAUGUUCAUUUCGAUCUUUGGAAUUUUUUAACGCGGCCUUCAUCGCCAAGGGAAGCAAGAUUAUGGUGCCAAAAUUGUCCAAAACCGCAAUGAUGGCCAUCCAGCUGACGAUUGGAAAAGGGGCCCUACCCGGAAGAGGACUUGGGAGACAUCUGCAAGGAAGGGUUGAAACGCCAAUGCUGAAGGACAAGAGAGACCGCUUCGGCUUAGGAUUUAAGCCAGAUGUGAACCAAAAGAGGAGGGAGCUAGAAAAGAAGCAAGAAAGAAAGAGAGCAUGAUUAACGGGGGAGGAAAUCAAAUGGGAACCAAUGACAUUCCCCCAUAUAUCGAAAACAUUUGUGUCCGGGGGAAUCAUUCAUCCUGAGAAAGACACGCCAAUGACGGGAGCUAUAGAAGAAAGGCUAGAAAGCUUGGACAUCAACGUCAUGUAUGAAGAGGAGACUGGAAGAGAAAAAUUGUCGGGCAUUUGCCCCUACACACCUGGAAGUGUUCUAGACAACUGGACUGCGGAAGAGAUUCCUGUAGUUUUUGGAACGGAUUCAAAGUAAUGUCCAAAACACACUUAUUGCUCUAGGCUUGGGAGUAAUAAGAAUCUUUUGUGAAAUAGGCCGAUGUUAAAAAAUGUUAUUUCAAUAAAAUGCACGGUUAUUAUCAUUUUUAAGCAAAUGUUCUCUCAUCCUUUCAAUUUCAUUCAUAACCAUACAAAUGAUUACUUUCGGAUUCUUUUAUUCUUGAAACAUUCUUCUAAAUAUUCUUUCAUUCGUCAUCCAUAAUCAUACCACGCAAAUAAAUGUUUCGAAUUCUUUUGAUUCUCUGUAUCUGCCUUCAUCCUCAUAACAGGUCCCCAGAUAUUAAUGAUACGAGUAACAUUGCUAGCGACUCAGAAUUUCUCAGGAUUUUGAAGAUGAUCAAGGCUGUAACCUAUCUCCUGAUUUGUUGAGGAUUGAAAUUGUGAGCUUAGCAGAAGGACAAGAGGUGAGGAUCGGAACAUGUAUCACCACGGAGAUGAAGCGAGACCUCAUUGAAUUACUUCAAGAAUUCAAAGAUGUCUUCGCAUGGUCAUACCAAGAUAUGCCCGGGUUGAAUACUAAUAUCGUGGUGCAUCGACUCUCCAUAAAGGAAGAAUGCAAGCUAGUUCAGUAAAAACUCUGAAGAAUGAGGCCCGAUGUCUUGCUAAAAAUAAAAGAAGAGGUUCGAAAAUAGUUCGACGCUGGAUUCCUGAAGGUGGUAAAAUACUCAGAUUGGGUAGCAAACAUCGUCCCCGUCCCUAAGAAAGAUGGAAAAGUGAGAAUGUGUGUGGACUAUAGAGAUUUGAAUAAAGCCAGCCCGAAGGACAAUUUCCCACUGCCUCAUAUUGACACCCUAGUGGACAACACGGCAGGACACUCAUUAUUUUCAUUCAUGGAUGGUUUUUUCAGAUAUAACCAGAUCAAGAUGCAUCCUAAAGAUAUGGAGAAGACCACAUUUGUAACCAUGUGAGGGAUGUUCUGUUACAAAGUGAUGCCAUUUGGACUGAAAAAUACGGGGGCAACUUACCAAAGAGCCAUGGUAACCCUGUUUCACGACAUGAUGCAUAAAAAAAUCGAGGUUUAUGUGGAUGAUAUGAUCGCAAAGUCUCGGACGGAGAAAGAGCACAUACAAGUCUUGAGGAAAUUGUUCUUGAGGUUGAGAAAGUUUCAGCUAAAACUCAAUCCAGCCAAAUGUACCUUCGGAGCCAAGUCUGAAAAGUUGCUUAGAUUCGUGGUCAGUGAGAAAGAGAUUUGGAUCGAUCUAGACAAAGUCAAAGCCAUACAAGAGUUAUCUCCGUCGCGUACCCAGAAAGAGGUUCGAGGCUUUCUAGGAAGAUUAAAUUACAUCUCUCGGUUCAUUUCACAACUAACCGAGAAAUGUGACCCUGUCUUUCGCCUUCUCAAGAAACACAACCCAGGUGAAUGGGAUGAAGAAUGCCAAAUGGCUUUCAAAAAGGUCAAACAAUACUUAUCCAACACUCCGGUGCUAACACCACCUAACCCCGAUAAGCCAUUGAUACUAUAUUUGGCAGUAUUUGAGAAUUCCAUGGGGUGCGUAUUGGGUCAGCACGAUGAGUCGGGAAGGAAAAAAAAGAUAUUUACUACCUUAGUAAGAAGUUCACUGACUGUGAAACAAGGUACCCGCCGAUAGAGAAGUUGUGUUGUGCCCUAAUUUGGACAACCCGAAGGCUGAGGCAGUAUAUGCUGUAUCACACUACUUGGCUCAUCUCAAAAUUAGAUCCUUUAAAGUGCAUGAUGAAGUAAACCGCUUUGAAUGGAAGGAUGGCCCGAUGGCAGAUUCUGCUCUCUAAAUUUGACAUAGUCUAUGUGAACCAGAAAGCUGUAAAAGGGAGUGCAAUAGCAAACUUUUUGGCUAGUAGAGCUUUGGAAGACUAUGAGCCUCUAAACUUCGACUUCCCGAAUGAAGACCUAAUGUGUGUUGCGACCGUUGGAGAAGGUGAUCCAGAAGAACUUCCUUGGAAACUGAACUUCGAUGGGGCGUCAAAUGCUGUGGGUAAUGGAAUUGGGGCAGUCUUGGUGUCCCCAAACGGAGAUCAUUAUCCAUUCACUAGUAAAUUGGAUUUUGAUUGCACGAAUAACAUGGAAGAACACAAAGCGUGCAUCAUGGGAAUCCGUGAAGCCAUAGAACGCAAGAUUAAAAUGCUAGAGGUGUAUGGGGAUUCUGCGCUAGUGAUUCAUUAACUUAAGGGAGAAUGGGAGACCAGAGACCGCAAGUUGAUCGAUUAUCGAAAACUGGUCCUGGAAUUGGUUAAAGAGUUUGAGGACAUUACCCUCCACUACCUUCCACGAGAUGAAAAUCAGAUGGUUGAUGCUUUGGCUACCUUAGCUUCCAUGAUCAAGGUGAACAAACAAGAAGAUGUCAAACCCAUUCGGAUGAGCAUUUAUGAAACUCCGGCCCACUAUUAUAAUAUUGGAGAAGGCAAAGAAAAAGAUGAUCACCCUUGGUAUCACGAUAUAUUGCAAUACGUGAAGAAUCGUGAAUACCCAGACCAAGCAAGCGAGAAUGACAAAAGAACACUGAGAAGAUUGGCCAUCGACUACGUCUUAGAUGGGGAGAUCCUAUACAAAAGGAGGAAGGAUCAGGUGCUAUUAAGAUACGUAGAUGAUGUAGAAGCUAAGAAAAUCUUGGAAGAAGUCCAUGAAGGCGUCUGUGGGACACACGCUAAUGGUUUUACAAUGGCCAGGAAAAUUAUGAGAUUCGGGUACUAUUGGUCCACCAUGGAAGGAGACUGUGUCAAUUACGCCAAGAGAUGCCAUAAGUGCUAAAUCUACGGAGACAAAUCCAUGUGCCUCCUUCACUGCUGCAUGUCAUGGUUUCCCCAUGGCCAUUCUCUAUGUGGGGCAUGGAUGUGAUUGGACCAAUAUCACCGAAAGCUUCCAAUGGGCAUAGGUUCGUCUUUGUGGUUAUUGACUACUUCACCAAAUGGGUAGAAGCCGCCUCAUAUGCUAGUGUUACAAAGUUAGCAAUGAGCAGGUUCCUGAAAAAAGAGGUCAUAUGUCGAUACGGAAUGCCGAAAAGGAUCAUAUCUGACAACGCAUUAAACUUGAACAACAAUACAAUAGCGGAAGUCUGUAGCCAAUUUAAGAUCAGAUAUCACAAAUCGUCACCAUAUUACCCGAAGAUGAAUAGGGCAGUGGAAGCAGCCAAUAAAAAUAUUAAGAAAAUCGUGGGGAAGAUGACCGAGACCUACAGAGAUUGGCAUGAGAAGUUACUGUUGGCCCUCUUUGCUUAUCGAACGUCAGUCAGAACCUCAACUGGGGAAACCCCUUCUCUUUGGUCUACGGAAUGGAAACGGUGUUGCCGAUCGAAGUCGAGAUCCCGGCCCUUUGAGUGUUGUCGGAGUUAAAGUUGGAAGAAGCCAAGUGGAUCCAAUCUCGGUAUGAUCAAUUGAACCUAAUUGAGGAAAAGAGGCUAAGAGCUAUCUGUCAUGGUCAGAUGUACCAAAAGCGAAUGAUACGGGCUUAUGAAAAAAAGGUUCGCCCUAGAGAAUUCCAUGAAAGAGACCUGGUUUUGAAAAAGAUCCUUCUCAUACAGAAGGAUUUUCGAGGGAAAUGGAUGCCUAAUUGGGAAGGGCCUUACGUGGUGAAGAAAUCUUUCUCCGGAGGAGUAUUGACUCUAGCCAAGAUAGACAGUAGAAACUUGCCCAAUCCUGUAAACUCAAAUUCAGUCCAGAAGUAUUUUACCUGAAGAAAGAGAGGCCAGAGUGAAAACCCGCAAAGGGUACUCUAAAAUCUAAAAAAAAAAAGAAAGAUGGAGAGGCCAAGGUGAAAACUCGCAAAGGGCACUUUGAGACCAAAUGGGUUUUUGAGUUGAAAACCCGAAAAUGGGCAGCUCAAAUUUUGGAUAUGGGGCAUAUUGUAGUCUUGUCCUCCCAAAAUCAGCAAGACAGAAAACAGUACGCCUUGGAGUAUCAACAAAAUACGCAGGAUCUCCUGAAUACACAUUCGGUUCGAAGGAGCCUUUGAGAAAUUGGAAUAGUGAAACUCAUGCUGCGAUAUCUGGGGCACCUCUUUUCUCAUUCUUAUUUUUUUGCUUUAGUAGAUUUGCUAUCUUGUUUGAUGUAUUCACUUCGAGUUUUACUCAAUAAAAUUCCACUUAGUCCGUUAUAAUAAUCUCUUUCGAGCAUUUUUGUUGAAAUCGCAUUUUUAACAUGUAAUAUUCACACAAAAGAUGUUAUGCAUAUUACUCUGAAAAGUCUCUAAAUAGUACAAGGACCUGAAACAGGGCCACUAGUCAGGACUAACCAGGUUCAAAAUUUGAAACAUUCGAAAAAGAAAAGCCCUAAUUGUGACUAUCUCUUCAAAUUUUCUAUCGAAUAUAAUGGCUAAGCAAGAGGGCGUGUUAGCACAUCAAUGAUAGAACUCGGAAAAAUUAUGAGCAAUGAUAACUUAAGAGUUUAAAAAGGAAUCACUCUCAUGAUGUUUCUACAUUCAUAAUCAUUCAUUUAGUUAGAAGCACUUGAUUCAUUUCGAUCAUAGCAUUCUAACUAUUUGACAUAAACACCACAUCUAGUUAGGGACAUUUGGUUUAUUUUGAUCAUGGCACCCUAAUUAUUUGGCAUACACAGAUACAGGAAACCAAUUCUACACAUCAUGUCUUUAGAAGACAGUGUAGCGACAUUGGCGAAUCCUACAGAUUUGGCAUCUCUGUAUUGGCGAAGAGCAGAUUAAAGAUAGCAGAUUUGGAAUUUCUGUAUUGACAGGGAGCAGAUCAAAGAUAGCAGAUUUAGUGUCUUUGUAUUGUCAAAGGGCAAAUCGAAGAUAGCAGAUUUGGCAUCUCUGUAUUGUUAGAGAGCAGAUCGAAGAUAGCAGAUUUGGCGUCUCUGUAUUGGUGGAGAGCAGAUCAAAGAUAGCAGAUUUGGCAUCUCUGUGUUGAUAGAGAGCAGAUCGAAGAUAGCAGAUUUGGCAUUUCUGUAUUGACAGAGAGCAGAUCGAAGAUAGCAGAUUUGGCGUCUCUGUAUUGGCGGAGAGCAGAUCAAAGAUAGCAGAUUUGGCUUCUCUGUAUUACCGGAGAGCAGAUCAAAGAUAGCAGAUUUGGCAUCUCUGUGUUGAUAGAGAGCAGAUCGAAGAUAGUAGAUUUGGCAUCUCUGUGUUGACAGAGAGCAAACCGAAGAUAGCAGAUUUGGUGUCUCUGUAUUGACAGAGAGCAGAUCGAAGAUAAUAGAUUUGGCGUCUCUGUAUUGGCAGGGAGCGUAUCGAAGAUAGCAGAUUUGGCAUCUCUGUAUUGUCAGAGGACAGAUUGAGGAUAGCAGAUUUGGCAUCUCUGUGUUGAUAGAGAGCAAAUCGAAGAUAACAGAUUUGGCAUCUCCGUAUUGGCAGAGAGCAGAUCAAAAAUAACAGAUUGGUGUUCCCGAGUUUUCAGGCAGCAAGUUGAGGUUAGCCAAUUUGACACUCCUGAAGACAUCAGAAUACCUAUGGGGAAGAUGAGGAUCAAGAUUUUGAGACUUAGCCAGACCGGGGAAAUUUGGUCCUUUUUAUAGUCUUUGCUCUAUUCUCGUUACACGACAUGAGCAAAGAGGGGCAGCUGUAGUGGGCCAAAUUUGCCCGACCUAUGCAAACACAAAACAAACCAAAAAAUAACCAUAAACAUAAAAUAAAUAAAAUUAUAACAGUCCAUUAAAUGUUUAAAGUCCAAUUACAUAGCCCAAACCCAAUUACAUAACCUAGACCUAUUUUUAAAACCUGACCCAAACUUACAAGGCCCGAUAGGCCCAUUGCUUUUAGAACAAACAGAACCCUAGGGUUCUCUUUCUCUCGCACCGCAGCUGAGCCUUGGCCCUAGCCUCCGUACCCCCCAGUGUCCUACAUUCCUCCUGGCACCACGCCCACACCCCGUACGCCAGCACACGCUCCCGUACACACACCAGCGCGCACCCGUACCUGCAAGAAGACAAACGAAAAAAACAGCCAAUGCAAACAAAAGGAAAACAUUGUACUUUUAUUUAUUUCGUUAAUUCUUCCUCUUUCUUUUCGGCUAUAAAAAGUUAGAUUUUAAUCUUGUAAUCAGAGACAUUUACGAACGCAAGCAAUACCAAGCAACAAAAAAUAGAAAAAGAAGGUGAUCUCGAGUGCCUCUUCUUUUCUUUUGUGAAUCUAUUUCAUUCAUUUUCUUUUCUUGAUUUUGCAUGCGUUUAUUUACAUAAGGGGUAAGAAAGAGCAGCAUAUAAAAGAAACAGCCAUCGGACCAUACCUUCUUCGUCGGAACCGAGGUUGAAGAUUGGCUUUCAGGGCUAAAAUUUGGCUUGUUGAGGCGAGAUUUAGAACAACGAGGGGUUUACCAUUGUAGAUAUACCAUCGGAGUCCCUAUAUCCUUCGUCGUAAUCAGAGUUUGGUAUAGGAUUUCAAAGUCAAAAUCAGUAAUCCACAAGUUGUGGUUUCAAAUGGUGUAAAAAAAGGGGGGCGUAUAUCCAUCACCAAUCACCAAAUACAAUGGUUUCAUGGUGAUGAAUGCGAGUUUUUUUUUUGGGAUAAAUCUGAUGAGAAUCGA
rnacentral:lncRNA from 1 species